GAAGAAGUGAGUCUGCGUUUGCGCACACUGAGGCGCACGCGCGAUGUCUCCGCCGCCGCCUUCUACCCCCCACUCCCACCUGAACUUCGUUGGCUGUGGGAACGGGACGCUCUCUCUGGUGGCCUUGUGAGACACGAAGCCCAGCCGUGAGCUGGCAGUGCCGGAGAGGGAACGGAGCCACAACCCUCAAGCAGCCAUUCCCAGAGCAGAGGCCAUCAGCGCUGGCUCAGACAAUUUGCUGAUGACGGAACCAUCUUGAUCUUUCGAGUCCGGGACUGGCCCAGUUCGCCGACUCAUGGAGGGAGGUCAGCACAGGCCGGCUACCAGGCACCCUUCCCAGGCUUGCUCAAGGUGGUCUGCAAAGGGGCCGCAGACACAGGGCAGCUGAAAUGCUGCCCUUUGUGGGGAGACCUGCAUCUGUACCAGAAGCAAGUGGAGCGCAGGCAGACUUCCCUUGGUCUAGGAAAGCUCUUGUCACCGGAAGAAGACGCUGGGUUCUGACCCCUUCCCAGAAAGAGAUUACACAAAUGGCCUCCUGACCACUGUCACCUGGAAGACUUUGCAGCCUUGAAGACCGCCUCUGAGGUGCACUGACCUCCCCUCACCCUGUCGUGCCCUUUUGCCACCUACUAUGAGGAGCCUUAAAUUUCUUUUUGUUUUGUUGUUUUUGGUACCAGGGAUUGAACUCAGGACUUCGCGCUUGCAAGGCAGGCUCGGUGCUGCUGUUAAAUUUCUUUUUGUACAUAAACUUGAAUCAUUGAG
rnacentral:lncRNA from 1 species